AAUAGAUACCCUGGUAGUCCACGCCGUAAACGAUAAUCACUAGAUGUUGGUCUGGUUUUCCGGAUCAGUGUCGUAGCUAACGCGUUAAGUGAUUCGCCUGGGGAGUACGGUCGCAAGACUAAAACUUAAAGGAAUUGACGGGGGUCCGAACAAGCGGUGGAACAUGUGGUUUAAUUCGACACUACGCGAGGAACCUUACCUGGGUUUGACAUACUUGAGACAGCUUUAGAGAUAAAGUCUUUCGAGAGCAAUCUCGAACUCAAGAACAGGUGCUGCGUGGCUGUCGUCAGCUCGUGUCGUGAGAUGUUGGGUUAAGUCCUUUAACGAGCGCAACCCCUGUCGUUAGUUGCUACUUGCUUUGCAAGGCACUUAACGAGGACUGGCUUGGGAAACCAGGAGGAAGGUGGGGAUGACGUCAAGUCAGCAUGGUCCUUAUGUCCAGGGCUACACACGUGUUACAAUGGUCGAAAACAACGGGGCGCAAUUCCGCAAGGAGGAGCAAAUCCUUAAAAUCGAUCUAAGUUCAGAUUGAGGUCUGCAAUUCGA
rnacentral:rRNA from 1 species